rnacentral:rRNA from 1 species
AGAGUUUGAUCAUGGCUCAGAUUGAACGCUGGCGGCAGGCCUAACACUGCAAGUCGAGCGGUAGCACAGAGAGCUUGCUCUCGGGUGACGAGCGGCGGACGGGUGAGUAAUGUCUGGGAAACUGCCUGAUGGAGGGGGAUAACUACUGGAAACGGUAGCUAAUACCGCAUAACGUCGCAAGACCAAAGUGGGGGACCUUCGGGCCUCAUGCCAUCAGAUGUGCCAGAUGGGAUUAGCUAGUAGGUGGGGUAACGGCUCACCUAGGCGACGAUCCCUAGCUGGUCUGAGAGGAUGACCAGCCACACUGGAACUGAGACACGGUCCAGACUCCUACGGGAGGCAGCAGUGGGGAAUAUUGCACAAUGGGCGCAAGCCUGAUGCAGCCAUGCCGCGUGUGUGAAGAAGGCCUUCGGGUUGUAAAGCACUUUCAGCGGGGAGGAAGGCGGUGAGGUUAAUAACCUCAUCGAUUGACGUUACCCGCAGAAGAAGCACCGGCUAACUCCGUGCCAGCAGCCGCGGUAAUACGGAGGUGCAAGCGUUAAUCGGAAUUACUGGGCGUAAAGCGCACGCAGGCGGUCUGUCAAGUCGGAUGUGAAAUCCCGGGCUCAACCUGGGAACUGCAUUCGAAACUGGCAGGCUAGAGUCUUGUAGAGGGGGGUAGAAUUCCAGGUGUAGCGGUGAAAUGCGUAGAGAUCUGGAGGAAUACCGGUGGCGAAGGCGGCCCCCUGGACAAAGACUGACGCUCAGGUGCGAAAGCGUGGGGAGCAAACAGGAUUAGAUACCCUGGUAGUCCACGCCGUAAACGAUGUCGAUUUGGAGGUUGUGCCCUUGAGGCGUGGCUUCCGGAGCUAACGCGUUAAAUCGACCGCCUGGGGAGUACGGCCGCAAGGUUAAAACUCAAAUGAAUUGACGGGGGCCCGCACAAGCGGUGGAGCAUGUGGUUUAAUUCGAUGCAACGCGAAGAACCUUACCUGGUCUUGACAUCCACAGAACUUUCCAGAGAUGGAUUGGUGCCUUCGGGAACUGUGAGACAGGUGCUGCAUGGCUGUCGUCAGCUCGUGUUGUGAAAUGUUGGGUUAAGUCCCGCAACGAGCGCAACCCUUAUCCUUUGUUGCCAGCGGUUAGGCCGGGAACUCAAAGGAGACUGCCAGUGAUAAACUGGAGGAAGGUGGGGAUGACGUCAAGUCAUCAUGGCCCUUACGACCAGGGCUACACACGUGCUACAAUGGCAUAUACAAAGAGAAGCGACCUCGCGAGAGCAAGCGGACCUCAUAAAGUAUGUCGUAGUCCGGAUUGGAGUCUGCAACUCGACUCCAUGAAGUCGGAAUCGCUAGUAAUCGUAGAUCAGAAUGCUACGGUGAAUACGUUCCCGGGCCUUGGUACACACCGCCCGUCACACCAUGGGAGUGGGUUGCAAAAGAAGUAGGUAGCUUAACCUUCGGGAGGGCGCUUACCACUUUGUGAUUCAUGACUGGGGUGAAGUCGUAACAAGGUAACCGUAGGGGAACCUGCGGUUGGAUCACCU